AUAGUGAUAUUAUAAGGAUUAAUAUGCUUUCUUUCCAUGUAAGUGAUCUCUGUAAGUUGGAGUCAUUAUA
rnacentral:tRNA from 1 species